rnacentral:rRNA from 1 species
GAAACCGAGUCUUAAUUGGGCGUUAAGUUGCAGGGUAUAGACCCGAAACCCGGUGAUCUAGCCAUGGGCAGGUUGAAGGUUGGGUAACACUAACUGGAGGACCGAACCGACUAAUGUUGAAAAAUUAGCGGAUGACCUGUGGCUGGGGGUGAAAGGCCAAUCAAACCGGGAGAUAGCUGGUUCUCCCCGAAAGCUAUUUAGGUAGCGCCUCGUGAAUUCAUCUCCGGGGGUAGAGCACUGUUUCGGCUAGGGGGCCAUCCCGGCUUACCAACCCGAUGCAAACUGCGAAUACCGGAGAAUGUUAUCACGGGAGACACACGGCGGGUGCUAACGUCCGUCGUGAAGAGGGAAACAACCCAGACCGCCAGCUAAGGUCCCAAAGUCAUGGUUAAGUGGGAAACGAUGUGGGAAGGCCCAGACAGCCAGGAUGUUGGCUUAGAAGCAGCCAUCAUUUAAAGAAAGCGUAAUAGCUCACUGGUCGAGUCGGCCUGCGCGGAAGAUGUAACGGGGCUAAACCAUGCACCGAAGCUGCGGCAGCGACACUGUGUGUUGUUGGGUAGGGGAGCGUUCUGUAAGCCUGUGAAGGUGUGUCGUGAGGC